rnacentral:rRNA from 1 species
CUGGUCAGGAUGAUCGCUAGCUGGAGUCCUAACACAUGCAAGCCGACCGGUACAAGAUCUUCGGAUCUUUGAUAGCGGCGUACGGGUGCGGAACACGAUGUCCAACCUGCCUUUAUCAGGGGGAUAGCCUUUCGAAAGGAAGUUUUAUACCCCAUAAUAUAACGCGGGGCAUCCAUUGCUGUUGUCAACUCCGGUGGAGAGAGAUUGGCUUAAGCCAGGUAACAAACGCGGUACCGUUCCGUCCUUCCUAGUCAAGGACCCUCUAGGGACACGGCCGGUGGCUCCCCCGCGGAAGGUGGGGGACACGUCCCGUCCUCAUGCCCGAGACAGCUGUGGCGUCUCUCGUCCAACAGUAGAGAGCAUGAUCCAGCCCCCCCGCGUGAAGGACGACGGCCCCCUGGAAUGUCAACUUCUUUUGUAUAGGGAUAAACCUUUCCACGUGUGGAAAGCUGAAGGUACUAUACGAAUAAGCACCGCCUAACUCCGUGCCAGCAGCCGCGGUAAUACGGACGGUGCAAGCGUCAUCCGGAUUUAUUGGGUUUAAAGGGUCCGUAGGCGGAUCUGUAAGUCAGUGGGAAAUCUCAUAGCUUACUAUGAAGCGCCAUGUACGCGUCGUG